UGCGCAGGCGGGGCAAUAAGUCAGUGGUGAAGUCCUGCGGCUUAACCGUAGAACUGCCAUUGAUACUGUUGCCCUUGAGUAUAGUUGAGGUGGGCGGAAUAUGUAAUGUAGCGGUGAAAUGCAUAGAUAUUACAUAGAACACCAAUUGCGAAGGCAGCUCACUAAGCUAUCACUGACGCUGAGGCACGAAAGCGUGGGGAGCGAACAGGAUUAGAUACCCUGGUAGUCC
rnacentral:rRNA from 1 species